rnacentral:rRNA from 2 species
GGGUUGUGAGGUUAAGCGACUAAGCGUACACGGUGGAUGCCCUGGCAGUCAGAGGCGAUGAAGGGCGUGCUAAUCUGCGAUAAGCGCCGGUAAGGUGAUAUGAACCGUUAUAACCGGCGAUACCCGAAUGGGGAAACCCAGUGUGAUUCGUCACACUAUCAUUAACUGAAUCCAUAGGUUAAUGAGGCGAACCGGGGGAACUGAAACAUCUAAGUACCCCGAGGAAAAGAAAUCAACCGAGAUUCCCCCAGUAGCGGCGAGCGAACGGGGAGGAGCCCAGAGCCUGAAUCAGCAUGUGUGUUAGUGGAAGCGUCUGGAAAGGCGCGCGAUACAGGGUGACAGCCCCGUACACAAAAGCGCACAUGCUGUGAGCUCGAUGAGUAGGGCGGGACACGUGGUAUCCUGUCUGAAUAUGGGGGGACCAUCCUCCAAGGCUAAAUACUCCUGACUGACCGAUAGUGAACCAGUACCGUGAGGGAAAGGCGAAAAGAACCCCGGCGAGGGGAGUGAAAAAGAACCUGAAACCGUGUACGUACAAGCAGUGGGAGCCCCACCACUAAGCCAGUGGUGAACUCCACAUACGCAUCCUUUGCUGAGGAUACGGUUAACGGAGCGAAAGCGACGUUCAACCUCAAAAGAAGCAGAGGGGGCUUAGUGGUGGGGUGACUGCGUACCUUUUGUAUAAUGGGUCAGCGACUUAUAUUCUGUAGCAAGGUUAACCGUAUAGGGGAGCCGCAGGGAAACCGAGUCUUAAUUGGGCGUUAAGUUGCAGGGUAUAGACCCGAAACCCGGUGAUCUAGCCAUGGGCAGGUUGAAGGUUGGGUAACACUAACUGGAGGACCGAACCGACUAAUGUUGAAAAAUUAGCGGAUGACCUGUGGCUGGGGGUGAAAGGCCAAUCAAACCGGGAGAUAGCUGGUUCUCCCCGAAAGCUAUUUAGGUAGCGCCUCGUGAACUCAUCUCCGGGGGUAGAGCACUGUUUCGGCUAGGGGGCCAUCCCGGCUUACCAACCCGAUGCAAACUGCGAAUACCGGAGAAUGUUAUCACGGGAGACACACGGCGGGUGCUAACGUCCGUCGUGAAGAGGGAAACAACCCAGACCGCCAGCUAAGGUCCCAAAGUCAUGGUUAAGUGGGAAACGAUGUGGGAAGGCCCAGACAGCCAGGAUGUUGGCUUAGAAGCAGCCAUCAUUUAAAGAAAGCGUAAUAGCUCACUGGUCGAGUCGGCCUGCGCGGAAGAUGUAACGGGGCUAAACCAUGCACCGAAGCUGCGGCAGCGACGCUGAUGCGUUGUUGGGUAGGGGAGCGUUCUGUAAGCCGUUGAAGGUGGCCUGUGAGGGUUGCUGGAGGUAUCAGAAGUGCGAAUGCUGACAUAAGUAACGAUAAAGCGGGUGAAAAGCCCGCUCGCCGGAAGACCAA